ACGAGUUAGGGUCUCACCGGCCCGACCUCCCAACCCUUUGUCUACCUGACCAUCGUUGCUUCGGCGAGCCCGUCCUCACGGACCGCCGGGGGGCUCUUCGCCCUCUGGCCCGCGCUCGUCGACAGCCCCCACAAUGUAAUCUUCACUAAACGUGUCUUAAUCUAAGUAUUAUUGUUAAAUAGAAACA
rnacentral:misc_RNA from 1 species